UACGAAGGGGGCUAGCGUUGCUCGGAAUCACUGGGCGUAAAGCGCACGUAGGCGGCUUUCUAAGUCAGGGGUGAAAUCCUGGAGCUCAACUCCAGAACUGCCUUUGAUACUGGAGAGCUUGAGUCCGGAAGAGGUGAGUGGAACUCCGAGUGUAGAGGUGAAAUUCGUAGAUAUUCGGAAGAACAUCAGUGGCGAAGGCGGCUUUCUGGACAAAUACUGACACUGAGGCACGAAAGCAUGGGGAGCAAACAGG
rnacentral:rRNA from 1 species